rnacentral:lncRNA from 1 species
UUUGAGCGAUUCAAAGAGGUCUCGGAGCCUGUUCUCGCAGAUAUCAACGGGAAUAUGCAGAUGCAAAAAGCCCUUUCUCUGACAACGAUCCUAAUGUGAAGCUACCAGAAAAUAUAACCUCCAAGUGCCGAUCAAUUUGCAGAUGCUACUGGACCCUGCCAAGUAUGACUCGCUCAUCAUGACGCUCGUCAUGCGUCCGUACUGAUUGAAUAUUUGAGACAAUCUGAUCUGUUGAAAGAGAGCGCCACAGGCUGUACCUGCCGAGCCUCAGCAAAGGAUGGCAGGGACAGCUCGAGCUCAGAUCACCUUCGAGGGAAAGGAAGUGCUUGAAGUUCGUGUAAAUGAGCCAGGUAAUUGAUAUGGUCACAAGCAAUUCAUCAGGAGGAUCUGAUCUUGAGAAUCAUACGCGCCUGAACUAGCAGAACCAAGACUCGCUCCACCUUGCAACGUGCUCUGCUGUGUCCAGGGAAGGUGUCAGACAACAUUUUAAAGCUGCGAGGAGACCUGAUGGCUAAGUUGAAUGCGUACAUGGGCACCAACGCCUGCCAAACCAAUGAAGGUGCGAAUUACCGGUCCUCCUCUCCUGCAGGCUGUGCACACCCUGAAGAACACACCUGUUCUGCUCACAUAAAUCCGCUUUGCACAAAGCGAAGCGCAAUUAACCAGUAGAUCCUUCUUGUCCAGAUGACAUGUUGGAGGAGCUUAUAUCAGAAGAUGAUGAUGAUAAUGAUGCGCCGAAGAUGGAGUCUCCGAAAGGCAAAGGGAAAGGAAAGAAAAGAAGCCGGGGCUAAACAGUUGGAGCAUGGCCCCAGACAAUGGCACAGGCAACCAUGAAGCAAUAUAUGGGAUUGUGGUUACCAACCUUAGAAUGCUGUCUAGAUUUUAUUAUAUACCACCAUGAAAUGCGGCGGUGAUGCCGGCCUAUCCAGCCAUAAGCGACCCUUCUAGAUAUAGUCUGCUUACAUUUCAUGCUACGAAAGGCUGACUGGCAUGUGCAGCUUUAGAGUUCGUCAUUCCUGUAAGAUGCUCUCAACUGAAAAAGCCAUUGGCACUAAAUAAAAUGAAGAGCACAGAGCAAAUCUAGAUAAAGAAAGAC